rnacentral:rRNA from 1 species
GAUGAACGCUGGCGGCGUGCCUAAUACAUGCAAGUCGAGCGAAUGGAUUGAGAGCUUGCUCUUAUGAAGUUAGCGGCGGACGGGUGAGUAACACGUGGGUAACCUGCCCAUAAGACUGGGAUAACUCCGGGGAACCGGGGCUAAUACCGGAUAACAUUUUGAACCGCAUGGUUCGAAAUUGAAAGGCGGCUUCGGCUGUCACUUAUGGAUGGACCCGCGUCGCAUUAGCUAGUUGGUGAGGUAACGGUUCACCAAGGCAACGAUGCGUAGCCGACCUGAGAGGGUGAUCGGCCACACUGGGACUGAGACACGGCCCAGACUCCUACGGGAGGCAGCAGUAGGGAAUCUUCCGCAAUGGACGAAAGUCUGACGGAGCAACGCCGCGUGAGUGAUGAAGGCUUUCGGGUCGUAAAACUCUGUUGUUAGGGAAGAACAAGUGCUAGUUGAAUAAGCUGGCACCUUGACGGUACCUAACCAGAAAGCCACGGCUAACUACGUGCCAGCAGCCGCCGUAA